rnacentral:rRNA from 1 species
UACGAAGGGUGAUAGCGUUGUUCGGAAUUACUGGGCGUAAAGCGCACGUAGGCGGAUUAGUAAGUCAGGGGUGAAAUCCCGGUGCUCAACCUCGGAACUGCCUUUGAUACUGCUGAUCUCGAGUCCGGAAGAUGUGAGUGGAAUUCCUAGUGUAGAGGUGAAAUUCGUAGAUAUUAGUAAGAACACCAGUGGCGAAGGCGCCUCACUGGUCCGGUACUGACGCUGAGGUGCGAAAGCAGGGGGAGCAUAUAGG